AUACCACUCUAGUAAAGAUAAAAUUCUAACUCUAUACCGUUAUCCGGAUAGAGAACAGUUUCAAGUGGGCAGUUUGACUGGGGCGGUCGCCUCCUAAAAGGUAACGGAGGCGUGCAAAGGUUCCCUCAGGCUGGUUGGACAUCAGUCGAAGAGUGUAAAGGCAUAAGGGAGCUUGACUGCGAGACCCACAAGUCGAGCAGAGACGAAAGUCGGCCUUAGUGAUCCGACGGUUCCGAGUGGAAGGGCCGUCGCUCAACGGAUAAAAGUUACUCUAGGGAUAACA
rnacentral:rRNA from 1 species